rnacentral:rRNA from 1 species
UACGGAGGGAGCUAGCGUCGUUCGGAAUUACUGGGCGUAAAGCGCGCGUAGGCGGCUUUGUAAGUUAGAGGUGAAAGCCCGGGGCUCAACCCCGGAAUUGCCUUUAAGACUGCAUCGCUUGAAUCCGGGAGAGGUGAGUGGAAUUCCGAGUGUAGAGGUGAAAUUCGUAGAUAUUCGGAAGAACACCAGUGGCGAAGGCGGCUCACUGGACCGGCAUUGACGCUGAGGUGCGAAAGCGUGGGGAGCAAACAGG